GAAAAUCAUCCAGAUUGAGUUGGUUCCGCCACAAGACAUGGGUCAUAAUUGUACAAAUCUGAGAAAAGGAUGAUAUUGAGAGAAAACUAAGGGCUGACUAAAGAAGAAAAGUACAAUAUGAAGCCAUUCUUAACACGUCUGAAGCAGAACCUCAUUGGGUGAUUGAAACAGAUGUAACAGAAUUAACACAGUUUUAGUGUACAAACAUACAUCACGAUGGAUGACUUAUGCAACAAAUUUGAGUAGCUUAGUUUUGCAACAUCUAAAAUUAGUAAUUUUGCCUUAUUGCAGAUUACAUACCGUUUACACAAACGACAGCUCUAAGCAAGUUUAAAAGAUUUGGCUUAUCGUUUUAAAGUGUCUUUUAUUACAAAAGGUAUAAAACCUUAUAAAUAGAAUGUACAAUCCAUCUACGAUGCUCUAAAAAAAUAUAACAUAUUGUUUUAAAAUGGCAUUUAGGAAUCGCAAUGUAUUAUUGAUUGUUACUCAAAUAUUUAUUUAUUUAUAACAUUAUAUUGUAAUUCUUAUUUUCACGAGUGUAAAUUGCAAAAUUAGCUUAUUGUUUAUAUAUCGUAAUAAACGAAUAUGUAGUAUAUACUGUUAUACUCCUUAACAAAAAUAUACAAUUGUCAAAUAAACAAUAAGAAAGA